rnacentral:rRNA from 1 species
UUUUUUUGAGGAUUUGAUCCUGGUCCAGGACGAACGCUAGCGGCGCGCUUUAAGCAUGCAAGUCGAACGAUCUAUCUUCGGAUAGGGAGUGGCAGACGGCUGAGUAACACGUCGGGACAUACACUUUAGUGGGGAAUAGCCCUCCGAAAGGAGGAAUAAUUCCGCAUAAUCCCAUCACUGGGGAAAGCGAGUAACUUCGCGCUGAUGGAGUGACCGGCGGCCUAUCAGCUUGUUGGUUGGGGUAAUGGCCCACCAAGGCUAUGACGGGUAGGGGGUGUGAGAGCAUGGCCCCCCAGAAUGGGACUGAGACACGGCCCAUACACCUACGGGUGGCAGCAACUGGGAAUCGUGCGCAAUGGACGAAAGUCUGACGCCGCGACGCCGCGUGGGGGAUGAAGGCCUUCGGGUUGUAAACUCCUUUUGAUUUUCCGUAUGGAGAGUAGAAUAAGUACCUGCUAACUUCGUGCCAGAAGCCUCGGUGAUACGAAGGGUACAAGCGUUGUCCGGAUUUACUGGGCGUAAAGGGUUCGUAGGUGGUUUGGUGCGUCUUGUGUUAAAGGCUCGGGCUCAACUCGGGUUUGCGCAAGAUACGACCAGACUUUGAGAACUUUCGGAGGUGCUAGAACUGUUGGUGUAGGGGUGAAAUCCGUUGAUACCAACAGGAAUACCGACAGCGAAGGCGGGCACCUAGAGAGAUUCUGACACUGAGGGACGAAAGCUAGGGGAGCAAAUGGGAUUAGAGACCCCUGUAGUCCUAGCCGUAAACGAUGCUCGCUAGUCCGAUGGGUUUAUUCUUAUCGGACGUAAGCUAACGCGUUAAGCGAGCCGCCUGGGGAGUACGGCCGCAAGGCUAAAACUUAAAGGAAUUGACGGGAGAGCGCACAACCAGUGGAGCAUGUGGUUUAAUUCGAGACAAACCGAAGAACCUUACCCAGGUUUGACAUGCAAUGUUUAAUGCCAGACUAGAAACAGAUUGGAAUAUUACUUUAUUGUAGUAGACGUUGCACAGGUGGUGCAUGGCUGUCGUCAGCUCGUGCCGUGGGGUGUCCUCUUAAGUGAGGUAACGAGCGCAACCCCUGCUGUAUGUUAAAUAUUCAUACAGGACUGCUCCGCCUUUGGCGGGGAGGAAGGAGGGGACGACGUCAAGUCCGCAUGUCCCUUAUAUCUGGGGCUACACACAUGCUACAAUGGCGCUGACAAUGGGUUGCCAAGCCGCAAGGUGGAGCUAAUCCCAUCAAACAGCGUCUCAGUUGGGAUUACAGGCUGAAAUUCGCCUGCAUGAACUUGGAAUUGGUAGUAAUCGCAGGUCAGCUAUACUGCGGUGAAUACGUUCUCGCUCUUUGUACACACCGCCCGUCAAGCCAGCAAAGUUGGAGGUACCCGAAGUGUCGCCAUUGGUGACCCUAAGGUAAACCCAGCGAUGAGGACUAAGUCGUAACAAGGUAUCCGUACUGGAAGGUGCGGAUGGAUCACCUCCUUUCUAGGAG